GUUUAUCCCAGAUGGAAGCGGCAUCCCACGCUUUUUUGCGUGGAUAUAGCGUACAGCUGGACACGAG
rnacentral:sRNA from 1 species